rnacentral:rRNA from 1 species
AGCGAACGCUGGCGGCAGGCUUAACACAUGCAAGUCGAGCGGGUGUAGCAAUACACCAGCGGCAGACGGGUGAGUAACGCGUGGGAACGUACCUUUUGGUUCGGAACAACACAGGGAAACUUGUGCUAAUACCGGAUAAGCCCUUACGGGGAAAGAUUUAUCGCCGAAAGAUCGGCCCGCGUCUGAUUAGCUAGUUGGUGAGGUAACGGCUCACCAAGGCGACGAUCAGUAGCUGGUCUGAGAGGGUGAUCAGCCACAUUGGGACUGAGACACGGCCCAAACUCCUACGGGAGGCAGCAGUGGGGAAUAUUGGACAAUGGGGGCAACCCUGAUCCAGCCAUGCCGCGUGAGUGAUGAAGGCCCUAGGGUUGUAAAGCUCUUUUGUGCGGGAAGAUAAUGACGGUACCGCAAGAAUAAGCCCCGGCUAACUUCGUGCCAGCCGCCGCAGUAAUAC